UACGAAGGGGGCUAGCGUUGUUCGGAAUUACUGGGCGUAAAGCGCGCGUAGGCGGUUUUGCAAGCCAGAGGUGAAAUGCCUGAGCUCAACUCAGGAAUGGCCUUUGGGACUGCGAGGCUUUGAGGACUGGAGAGGUGAGUGGAAUUCCCAGUGUAGCGGUGAAAUGCGUAGAUAUCUGGAGGAACACCGGUGGCGAAGGCGGCGUUCUGGACUGUUACUGACACUGAGGAACGAAAGCCAGGGGAGCAAACGGG
rnacentral:rRNA from 1 species